rnacentral:rRNA from 1 species
AGCGAACGCUGGCGGCAGGCCUAACACACGCAAGUCGAACGGACCCUUCGGGGUUAGUGGCGGACGGGUGAGUAACACGUGGGAACGUGCCUUUAGGUUCGGAAUAGCUCCUGGAAACGGGUGGUAAUGCCGAAUGUGCCCUUCGGGGGAAAGAUUUAUCGCCUUUAGAGCGGCCCGCGUCUGAUUAGCUAGUUGGUGAGGUAACGGCUCACCAAGGCGACGAUCAGUAGCUGGUCUGAGAGGAUGACCAGCCACACUGGGACUGAGACACGGCCCAGACUCCUACGGGAAGCAGCAGUGGGGAAUCUUGCGCAAUGGGCGAAAGCCUGACGCAGCCAUGCCGCGUGAAUGAUGAAGGUCUUAGGAUUGUAAAAUUCUUUCACCGGGGACGAUAAUGACGGUACCCGGAGAAGAAGCCCCGGCUAACUUCGUG